AGAGUUUGAUCCUGGCUCAGGAUGAACGCUAGCGGCAGGCUAAUACAUGCAAGUCGAACGAUACCCAGGGAGCUUGCUCUCUGGGAAAGUGGCGCACGGGUGCGUAACGCGUAUGCAACCUACCUUUAUCAGGGGGAUAGCCUCUCGAAGGAGAGAUUAACACCGCAUAAAAUCAAAGAACGGCAUCGUUUAAUGAUCAAAUAUUUAUAGGAUAAAGAUGGGCAUGCGUGACAUUAGCUAGUUGGUGAGGUAACGGCUCACCAAGGCGACGAUGUCUAGGGGAUCUGAGAGGAUGACCCCCCACACUGGUACUGAGACACGGACCAGACUCCUACGGGAGGCAGCAGUAAGGAAUACUGGUCAAUGGAGGCAACUCUGAACCAGCCAUGCCGCGUGCAGGAAGACGGCCCUAUGGGUUGUAAACUGCUUUUAUUCGGGAAUAAACCUCUUUACGUGUAGAGAGUUGAAUGUACCGAAAGAAUAAGGAUCGGCUAACUCCGUGCCAGCAGCCGCGGUAAUACGGAGGAUCCAAGCGUUAUCCGGAUUUAUUGGGUUUAAAGGGUGCGUAGGCGGCUUAUUAAGUCAGGGGUGAAAGACGGUGGCUCAACCAUCGCAGUGCCUUUGAUACUGAUGAGCUUGAAUACACUUGAGGUAGGCGGAAUGUGACAAGUAGCGGUGAAAUGCAUAGAUAUGUCACAGAACACCAAUUGCGAAGGCAGCUUACUAAGGUGCAAUUGACGCUGAGGCACGAAAGCGUGGGGAUCAAACAGGAUUAGAUACCCUGGUAGUCCACGCCCUAAACGAUGAAUACUCGAUGUUAGCGAUAUACAGUUAGCGUCUAAGCGAAAGCGUUAAGUAUUCCACCUGGGGAGUACGCCCGCAAGGGUGAAACUCAAAGGAAUUGACGG
rnacentral:rRNA from 1 species